ensembl:lncRNA
GGAGUCCCGAGGCGGCGGAUGGUUGACGACUGACCAAGGUGGAGCCAGUGGACGAGGGAGCCCGGUGGAGCAGGUGGGAUGCCGGGCCACGGCAGAGACGAGGGAGCUAAGAGCCAAGGCGGAGCCGCUGGGUCGAAGGACCGAGGAGGAGUCCAGGGCUCGGAGGCUGGAGGUGGAGACAGGGAAUCCACACGCCAAGGCGGAGCUGGAGACUGGAAGUCCUGCAGCGAACCAUCGCGCCCAGAUGGCGCGGACUGAGGGUGAGCUGCGGGACUGACUGGCACCAGCGGAGAUGAGCAGAGGAACUGACAGGUCUAGCAGGAGGCGGGAGAGGGAGGUUGGGAGGGAACACAGGAGGAUCAGGGCUGGACGGAACCAGCGGAGAAACAGGAGGAUCAGGGCUGGGCGGAACCAGCGGAGAAACAGGAGGGUCAGGGCUGGGCGGAACCAGCGGGGAAACAGGAGGUUCAGGGCUGGACGGAACCAGCAGAGAAACAGGAGGAUCGGGAACUGCCUCCCCAAACCAGUCUAUAAGGUCCAAUAAUUCCUCUCUAUAAUUCCCAGAAACCAAAUGCAGCUCACCCUCAGUCGCAGGAGUGUGGGCAGGGCUUUCCUCCACGCCCUCAAUCUCCACCAAUCGUCCCACGACGCACGGUGUUGCCGGCUCACACACCUGGUCAGUCGCGCACUCGAGUUCCUGCUCCCUGUCGGUGAUAGGCUCGGGCUCUGCGGCUACGGUGGGCUCUAGCUCCGUGCAGCGGGAUGGUGGCUGGCUGGUCUCUGGUUCGGGAGUGGGGCUGGAGAGAUCCUCUUCGGCCGUGCAGAUGGUAAAUAAGGAUCCAUUUUUCUCCAGCACCCACUCCACGAAAGCGGCGAAAUCCUCUCUGGGACCGUUCGCUGGGAGGCAUGCCUUACACCGCUCGCUCAGGCCAGCAUAGUAGAAUGCACAGAGAGAGCGGUCAGGGAAGUCCGUAAGACACGCCAGAUCGAAAAAGUCCCUGGUAUGGUCCUCCAGCGAACGGUCCAGUUGCUCCAGGCACAGGAGUUGGACUGCUGGGAUAUCCAUUCCGAGAGGGGGGAAAACAAGAAAAAAACACAAAAAGAAAAACGCUGCUAAACUGUAGUGGGUCCGCUAUUCUGUUACAGGGGCUGGUGUGCUAGUAAAACGCUCGACGAAGGAGAUAAAGAAAAGGGUACUUUAAUGAUCCACAGGAGAACCGGGGCACCCAAACACAGAUCAUCGUAGCAUAAAACAAUGUCAUCAAGCAUCAAACGUCAAACAAUAGCGGACCAACUGGAACUAAACAGACGGGGUAUUUAAACACAAGGAACGUAAUCAGAGUAAUGUAAACAGGUGGGGAGUAAUCAAUUAACAAAACGAGGAAUGGAACAUGACCAAAUAAGGAGAACACAAAAGGAACAGAAGUCCAUAAAUGUAACACAAAUAGACAGAAACAUUCUAGGUUUUACAUUCUGCCUGCCAAACUGAUCAAAGGAGCUUUCCAACUGAUUUCUUCAAUUCAUGGGUUUAGGUAUUAUUUACA